rnacentral:lncRNA from 1 species
UUGUAGAUCGAGUAACAAAGCAAACAGAAUCAGAAAAGUCAAAAUCUUGAACAGCUUUGAAUGAAUCCUAAUCGAGCAAGCAUGGAAGUUGAACCGUGUUGUUCCUAAUCACGCAAUCGAGUACAUAUUUCAAUAGUUCAGAACUUGAUCAUAACGAUUUAACAAGUUUCAUACAAAUCAAAUGUAUUCAAGCCUAUAACGAUGAAACAAUUUCGCAAAAACGAAUCAGAAGUUGAAAAGUUUAGAAAGAUACAACUUGACACGAAGUGGCUCUGAUACCGCUUAAUAUGAUCCUGGUUAGAAGAUCACAGUCCCUUGAUGCACUUUGUGUGGUUGUUGUAUAGAUCAAGUAGAAAUGAUGCGGAAUGGAUGUGAAUGAAGUGAAUGUGAUCGAGUACAACUGGUACAACUGGUGGUGAUGAGAUCGAGUACAACUGGUACAACUGGUGGUGAUGAGAUCGAGUACAACUGGUACAACUGGUGGUGAUGAGGUUGAGUACAACUGGUACAACUGGUGAUGGUGUUAUGAAAUCCAGUAUAUGAGUGAUGUUGAUUGUUUGGUCGAGUAGAAGAUGAAUUGGAUCGAGUAUGAUGUUGGUGGUCGAGUAUAUUGAUGCGAGAUCGAGUAGAAUGGUGAAUCGGUGAACCGGAUUGAAUGGAGUGAGGAAAUGCGAUCGAGUGGGUUGUGAUCGAAUGGGAGUUGAAGCGAUCGGAUGGUGAUGAGAUGAUGAUGAUGAUGAGGUCGAGUGAUGGUGACGAUGAUGGUGAUGAAAUGAUGAUGAUGAGAUCGAGUGAUGGUGAUGAUGAUGGUGAUGAGAUGAUGAUGAUGAGGUCGAAUAUGAUGACGAUGUGGUAAUGAGAUCGAGUAUGAUGAGGAGAUGAGGGGUCGAGUAGAACUUCCAAAGGCUGCGGGAUUCCUCUGAACUUCCAGACUUGAUUCUGCUUGGAUAUGACACACCAAGAGCAGUCUCAAGAUGAAUUCGAGAUAUUACACACUCAAACUCAAGAUCAAAUGAAUUCAGAAGGAGAUUUGAUUAGAAAAUGUUUGAUAGCG